AUUGAACGCUGGCGGAAUGCUUUACACAUGCAAGUCGAACGGCAGCACGGACUUCGGUCUGGUGGCGAGUGGCGAACGGGUGAGUAAUACAUCGGAACGUGCCCAGUCGUGGGGGAUAACGUAGCGAAAGCUACGCUAAUACCGCAUACGAUCUAAGGAUGAAAGCGGGGGAUCGCAAGACCUCGCGCGAUUGGAGCGGCCGAUGGCAGAUUAGGUAGUUGGUAGGGUAAAGGCCUACCAAGCCGACGAUCUGUAGCUGGUCUGAGAGGACGACCAGCCACACUGGGACUGAGACACGGCCCAGACUCCUACGGGAGGCAGCAGUGGGGAAUUUUGGACAAUGGACGCAAGUCUGAUCCAGCCAUUCCGCGUGCAGGAUGAAGGCCCUCGGGUUGUAAACUGCUUUUGUACAGAACGAAAAGGCUCUGGUUAAUACCUGGAGCUCAUGACGGUACUGUAAGAAUAAGCACCGGCUAACUACGUGCCAGCCGCCGCCGUAA
rnacentral:rRNA from 1 species